rnacentral:lncRNA from 1 species
AAAACUAUGGCCACCUCCUCUCCGUGGGCUGUGACGUGUCUAAACCUGACAUCAUCCUCAGACUGGAGAGAGGGGAAGAGCCAUGGACAUCGUUUGCAAGUCAUGUCUCCUUAGCAAGUUUCUGACUUUAGACAUAAGCCUGAAAGAGUCAGGCAACAUCACAUAUCACUGACACGUUUUAAAGGUUCCUGCUUUUGAAAUGACAAUCUCACCCACAACACUGAAAACACAAUUCUGAGCUGGACAUGUUGAAUGCAACUGGAGUGCUAGAAUUUCAGGGUGAAACCACCCUACUCAACCAAGACGUAUGAAAAACAAUUUUUAGGUUUUUGUGUAUUUAUGUGUAUGUAUAUUUUGCCUGCAUGUAUCUAUGUG